UACGUAGGGGGCUAGCGUUGUCCGGAAUCAUUGGGCGUAAAGAGCGUGUAGGCGGCCCGGUAAGUCCGCUGUGAAAGUCGGGGGCUCAACCCUCGAAUGCCGGUGGAUACUGUCGGGCUAGAGUGCGGAAGAGGCGAGUGGAAUUCCUGGUGUAGCGGUGAAAUGCGCAGAUAUCAGGAGGAACACCGGUGGCGAAGGCGGCAUCCUGGACCGGUAUUGACGCUGAGGCGCGAAAGCUAGGGGAGCAAACGGG
rnacentral:rRNA from 1 species